rnacentral:lncRNA from 1 species
AUUUUUAUAGCCACCAGUACUCCCAUGGAAUAUCCAUAAGACUAAUGCUCCCUUUUUUAAACUGUUUCUGUGAGCAACCACAAGUGGUUUUCUUUGGUCCCCUUUCAUAACCAACUGCCACACGAUGGCUGCACCUGCCAAUGGUUUUGCUCAAUUCCUCUAUAAAAACCCCUGGCUAGCUAGCUUCUGGCUCAUUCUCAUAUUGAACAAAAGCAAAAGCGCUUUAGAAGAAGAAGAAGAGAAUUGAGUAUAGGUUCAUCUGAGCAAAAAUGUCUGCAGUAGUGGAGAUAUGGGUGACUGAGCUAGCUAAGCUUAAAGAGAAGGUCAGACAAAGGAAGCCAUUAAUAAGCUUGUCAAAAGCCAAAGGAGCAGUAGUAGCUGAAGAGGAUAAGGAAGCUGGGAAAGAGAGCAAAGUGUUUAAGAGAGAAACUAAUAUUUCCGAGUCCACAGUUUUCAUGCUUAUGGACAGGUUUGCUCCUUCUUGAUAAACACAUCAAACCCUAUUAUGUAAAUAAAUUAGUGCCCAUGUAUUGUAUAUGUUUAUCAAUGCAAAAUGUUUUGUUUUAUGUUUUUUUUUCUGACUAAAAUGUUUAACCCACAAAAUUAUAUUGCAAUCGCAUUCAUGGAGAUGGAUCAAAAUGGAAUGAAUUUGGUAAAUUUGGAAAUGGGUUUCCUUCUUAGAACUAGCACCAGAAGGAUUCUGGAGAAAUUUAACAGUGGCAAUAAAUAAGAAGGACUACAGAUUGCAGUUUUCCUUUCACAGUUUUGCUUGUCAAUGAAUUUUACAAGUUCCUAUAUUUUAAACAAGUAAAUUAAUUAAAAAAAUUCAAUUUUGUAAAAAUUACUAAUUAAAUAUAUGAAGUUAAAUAGCUUUACAUAUAGCAUGAAAUUUUGUUUGACCAAUGGAAUGGCCGUUUGCCCCAAGGCCGGUUUUGCUAAUCAGGCAAUUAAUAAUUUUUUUUCAAGUCGUUUGCUUAUUCAAUAAGAACCUGCUGUGGUCUUCAAUUGCCAAUUUCCACAGCAUUCAGUCUUUCUUUCAAAUAUAUUUACUUUCAGGUCUUUCCUUGAAUUUUUUUUUUUUUUUUUAUCGAACUCUUUCCUUGAAUUGCAUAUGUAUAAACAAUCAAGUUUCAAUUUCCCAUUUGUCCAGACUCAAGACAGAGAAAAGCAGCAAUAAAUAUUGUACAACAUAAUGUUACAUCCUUUUUGUAAAAUAUACCUUUUCUUUCCCUCAAUUUUUUCUCUUCUUUAUUUAGAUGAACAAUCUUUGACUUAGCAUAGACUUUAACUUCAAUUGGACAGAAGAAAAUACAAGUGAAACUGGAAAUUAAUGUUGUCAAGCAGGCUGAUCAGGUUCAGUGCCCGAGAAACCACUGCCAACUAGAAGAGGACUGUAAAGUCCAUGCUCAAGUUCCAUACCCACAUUUUUCCCAGUAACUCGCUCAAGAGGAGCACUUGGCAAAGACAAGAUGGCACGAACUAGCUUUCCUACUCUUGUCUGCAACAAACCAUCACCAAGAUUAAUUGAUGUAGGAAAUGAACAUGAAGAUGGUAACUAAAAUUAAUAGGCCUGCUAUUUUACAUAAUAUAAUAUAGAUAAUACCUUUAUCCAUAUAUUUUCCUUUAUAGCACUUGAUCCCUCUUCCUGAUAGGACCCAUCUGCAUUAACCCAAAGGUGAGUUUCUCCUUCACAUUUCACUCCUGCUAACUGCAAAACACAAAUCAAUGGAAUGGCUUCUUAUCUUUUGUAGGUGUUUGAUGAAAUUCAACAUCCAAAACUAAAAAGAAAAAAAUUAAUUGAGUUGAAUUCAUUAUAUCCAGAAUAAGAUACCAGCAGCAUCAGGAGCUCCACUUUAGUGAUCUCACGAUUAUUUACCAACACGUUUGUGUUUCCAUUGCUUGCAUUUGUUUGCAGAUGCCCCCCAACAGCUAAACUGGGACUGAUUAUUUGGCAAGGUUUCUUUCCUUCCUGUUCAGCCAAACAAUAUGAGUGAAUCCACUACAGAGUUGAAAGAGAAAAAGAAGCAAACAGCUAGAGUUCAAUAAUA